rnacentral:misc_RNA from 1 species
AACGGUCUAUACCUGCGGUACCUGCGGAGGAUCAUUAUCAAUUUACAGCGGACUUCGGUCCUGUCUGCACCCUUGUCUUUUGCGUACUAUAUGUUUCCUCGGUGGGCUUGCCUGCCGAUAGGACACUUAUAAACUCUUUUGUAAUUGCAAUCAGCGUCAGAAAACUAUAAUAGUUACAACUUUCAACAAUGGAUCUCU